rnacentral:rRNA from 1 species
AGAGUUUGAUCAUGGCUCAGAAUCAACGCUGGCGGCGCGCUUAACACAUGCAAGUCGAACGAGAAAGGGGAGCAAUCCCUGAGUAAAGUGGCGCACGGGUGAGUAACACGUGGGUAAUCUGCCUCUGGGUGGGGAAUAACUCUGGGAAACCGGAGCUAAUACCGCAUAAGCCCCCAUUGAAUAAAUGGACGGGAAAGGCGAAAGUCGCCGAGAGAGGAGCCCGCGGUCGAUUAGCUGGUUGGUGAGGUAAAGGCUCACCAAGGCUGUGAUCGAUAGCCGGCCUGAGAGGGCACACGGCCACACUGGCACUGAAACACGGGCCAGACUCCUACGGGAGGCAGCAGUGGGGAAUCUUGCACAAUGGGGGAAACCCUGAUGCAGCGACGCCGCGUGAGUGAUGAAGCCCUUCGGGGUGUAAAGCUCUUUCGGCAGGGACGAUAAUGACGGUACCUGAAGAAGAAGCUGCGGCUAACUACGUGCCAGCAGCCGCGGUAAUACGUAGGCAGCGAGCGUUGUUCGGAGUUACUGGGCGUAAAGAGUGCGUAGGCGGCGGCCCAAGUCUGGUGUGAAAUCUCCCGGCUUAACCGGGAGGGUGCGCCGGAAACUGGGUUGCUGGAGUGCCGGAGAGGCAGGCGGAAUUCCUGGUGUAGCGGUGAAAUGCGUAGAUAUCAGGAGGAACACCCGUGGUGUAGACGGCCUGCUGGACGGCAACUGACGCUGAGGCACGAAAGCGUGGGGAGCAAACAGGAUUAGAUACCCCUGUAGUCC